UGUCUGGGCUGGCCUGAUGGCUUUCAUACAGAGGAGCAAUGCCAGGUCUUGACUUCCAAGGGCAUAAAAGUACCAAGGUCUUGUUCUCGGUUGUAAAUACACUGCAGGGAAGUGUCCGAGUAUCCUGGAGCAGGUGGUGUUCCCUUGGGUGCAGUGCUGUGCUCCCGGUGCAGUGGCCGUGGAUGGAGUCACAUCUUAACUGAAUUACUUGUGUUUUUGCGCAGUGUAAGUGAUGCUGUGUCAGGUCAGCAGCACCCGCUCCUUUUCCUGUGUCAGAGGUCAGUGUACACCAUGAUCUAGGAUAUCAUUGCAGAUCCUGCACAAGAAUAGUUGACUAAACCCAUUGCAUAUGUCCCGUGUUAAUGUGACUGUUCUGCUAGUGAUUUGCAUGUAAACUGUCAGAAGCCUGUUGUACAGAUGACACCCACUGUCUGGCUCAAUGCUGGCAGGAUUUUGGGUGCUCUGUGCACUCAGGCUCUUCUUUCCUUCCAGCUUCAUCAUACAGGCAUGGCCCCACUGGUGUGGAGUAGAGUCCUUGUGGCUGCUGCUCUGGAAUACCCACCAUGCCUGAGCAUGCCAUUCCUCUUAGCAGGCACCGACACAGGAAAGGUACCUGUUGCUCCAUCUGAUGCUGUCAGGUUUCUUUCAAACCCACCUUCACAACCCAGAUGAAGGAGCUGCAGAGGCAGUGCGUGCUUUCCAAAGGAGAUCUGGUCUUGAUGCCAAGGAAUUUUCCCCCAUUCUGCACUUCAGCACAGCAGAGCUGCAAAGAUUUUAAGUGACAAAUAAGAUGUGACAUAGCAAGAAUGAUGAGACAGACAUCCAGUAAUGGCAGACAAAACCUCUGUUACAGGAAAUAACUUCCAUAUCAUACUUUCAAGAACUGAGAGAUGUGUGCAUGCUUGCUAUCUUAGCAGACCUGGUUUUGUCAUGCAACUUUAUCAAUGUUAUUAAUACUUACUUGUGCUAGUGCAAUUCUUAGAGUAAAGCCUCCAGUGUGCUGUCAUGCUAGCAGCUUUGCAGUGUGCCAGUGGACAUCCCAUUGAGAUUUAGCAGCUGAAUCCAUUUGCCAUUCUUCAGGAUUUCCAGAAUUCCAGACACAUUCUGCUUCCCUUACAACUGCUGUACUCAAGGAGGAAAAAUUAAGCAGUACUAGAAGAGAACAAAAUCUGUUAGCUUUUUCUUGGUAUCUUAAGACAAUCAGUGAUCAAAAGUUAAGAUGCAGCAUGUCACAAGAUCUCCACAACCAUGAAAUGUUGUCAUAUGAAGCUACUGCAAAGUCAGAGGGUUAUGUACGUGUUUCUCCUCCUGUUCUAGGAAGCUGUGCUCUCCCCUAGUGAAAAAAGAUCUGGAAGCAAGGGGAGGUAAAGAGUUACAUUCCCCAGUAUGUGGCUGCCCAACAUUUAAUUGUAAAUGGCUGCCCAUUUAAAUGAAUUGGUCUUGAGCUUCCAUUUAACUGAAAAAAUGGGAACAAAUCAGAAACCCCAAAUCUGAACUUUUCUGUUUAAGUGAAUUAGCAAACUAAAGUUGAAGUAGUUCAUGUGCGUGUUUUUACCUGCAGUGCCUCUUGUUUGCUUUACAUCAGAUAACUAUCACUUGUGAUCACUAGGUGAUAAACUAACAUCUUUGUUUAAACAAGCAAGCCCGAGGGCACCAACUCAUUCGUGACAUG
rnacentral:lncRNA from 14 species